UACGGAGGAUGCAAGCGUUAUCCGGAUUUAUUAGGUUUAAAGGGUGCGUAGGCGGAAAAUUAAGUCAGUGGUGAAAUCUUGUAGCUCAACUACAAAACUGCCAUUGAUACUGGUUUUCUUGAGUAUAGUUGAGGUAGGCGGAAUGUGUAGUGUAGCGGUGAAAUGCAUAGAUAUUACACAGAACACCAAUUGCGAAGGCAGCUUACUAAACUAUAACUGACGCUGAUGCACGAAAGCGUGGGUAGCGAACAGG
rnacentral:rRNA from 1 species